CACAUUGCUAAUCCUUUCCAAAUUUCUAAGGCCUAUUCAGGCUUUGGCUGUAAGAAGCUACAGCUUGAAAAAACAAAUCACUGCCUCUCAAACUUCUAAUCUCCUCUCAGUGUAGCUUAGUCUUUACUUAUUCUGAGCGAAAAAACCACGGGGCUAAUGGUCAUGAUUCUGUUAAUGAUCAAACUGGAGCAUCGGGCAGCUGGUCCCGCUGGUCACAUGAAGGUUCAGAAAUAAAUGAAGCCAUUGGGAAGCCAGUGACACCGUGACCUUCUGCUCCCAGGGCCCCAGCGCAGGCUGAGCCUCUGCUCAGACAGGGUAUGUGGUUUCAACUCUCCAUGGGCUGACAAAAAUCAGAUUUCUGACUCUGCAAAGCUAAGCCGACUCUGCUCCUGGAAGGCGUCUCCACUAACAGACAGGGUUCUGCUGGGUGGUUGCAGGAAGCACCUGCUCCCAUCAUUUGCUGACUGGGGAUAUUCACCUCUGGAAGUGAAUCACUUACCUGCUCAACUGGCUCAAGAUGUAGGCUGCAAGGGUCUCGCAGCUUUGCUCCAAAUUUUCCCUCCAAGCAAGCACAUAAGUGGAGAAGCCCCUGAUUCCAACCAAACCCUAAAUUGCUGCUCUUGUUCCCAAAGGGAAGAAGAAAAUGUGUCCUGGAGGAACUCACACUGGGGCCCCAGGUCAGGUGCCUCCCUUGUUAUCUGCACCGUCCUCGCUGUUCACCCCUCUGCAGACAGAAAUUGAGGCUCAGACAGCGGCCAGACCACGGGAGGUGGCAGGUUCCCCAGGACCUGGUUUCCAACCAGUCCCGCCACCUCCUACUACUGUGACCUUGGGGGCUUUCCCCAGCUUCUCUGAGCCUCUGUUUGGUCGUCUGUAAAUGCAAGGUCGUGUAAAUGCAAAGUCCAGGAGGCUCAGUGUGAACCGCAGUCUCAGUGCUGGCAUCCUCAGUGCUCCCCGGGGUGGGGGGGCAGAGCACAGGUGCUCUCUCCAGCUGUCUCCUAAUUUCAAGAGUACAUGGGUCCUGUCACCCCAGAGGAAAUGCCUGCGUGGAUCCCAUAGGAAUCGGUUUAGAGGCUGUGUUCUUCCUUAUUAGCCUCCCUCAACGGAUGUCUGCCUUGCCCACCUGGCAGGCUUGGGACUGAUGGAUGAGAGGAGGAGGGCAGAUCCGCCCGAUGGGUCUCCCCGCAGGAAGGAGCCUGGCCCUGGGGACAGCCACCCACACAGCUGCGGCCACACAGCUUUCCAGUCUCCUACCCUGCUCACGACUCCCGUCACCCUCACGGGAGGAGGUGGUUGGAAAACUCAUUUGCCUGGACUCCAGGACACUGUCUGGUCCUGGGUUCAGGGAAGGUAGCAAGGGGCCCGCACGAGGGGCUAUCUGUUGAUUCGGUGGCUCUUCUUUUCCUGUCUUGUUGCUCUUAUUUUGCUCCAGCAAUGGCUUUCUUUGUGCUGCCUCUGAGAAGACCCUUGGGAGAGGCUGGCUCGGGGUCUUCCUCCCAAAUGCAUGUCUGGCUCAGGGCUGCUUUGAUGGAUAGAGGCAAUUUUCCUUGGAAAUCGGCUGCGGUAUUGGCAGUUCCGUGGGACAUCCGUUACUCUCCUCCCGGAGAGAGAUUUUCCAGGGGGCGGCACGAUGGAGCGAUGCUCUUCAUGAGGGGGUGGGGAAGCAGAAAUAACCUAAAAGGAAAGGCAUCUAUUUAAAUUUUUUGCAGAGCUGCGCCUCCUGCAUGUGGGUCCAGCCCACUCCUGAGAAGCAGCUCCUUUUGGAAAACAAGGGGACUGGCAAACGGCUUGUUAAAGAUGUUCCCUGGGCACUGACCACGGCCCGGCGCUUUGCGUGGCACUGAGGAUACAGAGGGGCCUGGGGCGUAUGCCCGGCCUCCAGCAUCUCCUGCGUGGGGGCAGAGUCAGCCUCCCAGCUGCGACAGGACUCAGGAAACAGCCCUCUGGUCCUUUGCAAGAUGCACCUGAGACAAACACGCCACAAGCUUCCAGAAGGCAGAGAAUCAGACUGAUCCCCUUCUGGGUUUAACAGAGGGAAAGAGCAUUAAUUAGGACAAAGCCGAUGGUGGCCACUUGUACCUUCGAGAGGAGUGUGUGGGACACAGUUCACACAAAAAGGGACAUACAUUUCUAUUCAUCUGUUUCCUUUGCUGAGCUUCGUGAGCGAAGAAGAAAACGUCAUGAGUGGAGCCCCCGCUGCUGAUGCAAAGCCAGCUAACAGCCACUGAAGUCUCGCUUGGUUCGCUUGGUGCGGUGCUGACAAUCCGACAGAUUUCCUGAAAUGCCGGGUCCAGUGAGUCGCCCAGACGACGCCAAAGGGCUGUGUGUUGGCGCCUGCCUUCAACCCCCGCUCACACGGUCACAGCUCUGCCUGGGCCCUUCUUCCUGCUUGCACAGACCACACAGGCGGCCCGAGGGGACUGCUCAGGGCUUUCCUGUGGCUUUUCUGGGUGUGGGCACAGCCUUGUGUGGUGUGACCUUCUGGGUUCCUUAGGUCUAGAGGUUUGAUCAGAUUCGCUUGUACCAUUACGGCAACAUAAAAUGACAUUCUUUUCCACUUGGACCCAUCCAGGUUUGGCACAGUACACAGCACUACACUGCAUAGGGGACUCAGGAGAGAGGCUAGCUGAGGAGAUGCUGCUGUGUUGAUUACGAGGAUGGGUUUGGCACAAGCAGGGGCUGAGGGCUGUCCCAGGCUAGUCAUGCAGGGAAAGGCCAGGGCUUGCAGACCUGCCUGUGCAGAGGGAGCAGAAUUAACUCAUCUUGUUUUUCAUCUGUGUCUUCUCAUUGGACGUGUCUGCUCGCGGUCCUCUGCAGACUGACUGUACUGGGGAAACAGAGGCACCUUGGAAUCCUGCAUAGAAAUCUCCAGCAAUAAUCAGGCCUCUGGAUGAUGACAUUUACCCCAGAAGAUCGUUCUGAUGAAAUAAAAGCUGUUACAUAGAUUCAGGAGCAUGUGUUCAUCGUCAGCUGAAAGUUCUCUUUGACUUCCUCCCAGUGCAGAGCCCGACCUUGCGUACAUGCAGUUUACUUAGGAAAGUGGUCUUGAGGAAGCGGAAUGUGGAAGUGAGAAGAGUAAACCAGGGAAGGAGAGGAAACCAAAGCAAGGAGGGAGCGAGCCAGUCGAUGCUGCAGGUAAUCAGAGCUCAGUUUGGCUGAGGACCCUCAAGACAACUGUGUUGAAUGCACUCUGGAACUUUCCACCUGAGAGAUGAGAAUGAGGGUCUCCCUCCUUGGCUCUCACUCCCGUGCACGGAGAGUGGACACAGGGGAUGUCCACGUGCAUCUUCCAGGUGUGCGCCUGCAUCAGAACGGCUGAGUUAGUCCUCACACGUGUCCGACAAGAAAUUCACACGUCGGUGCUGAUACAGGAGGUGGGAGUCACAUGGUACGGUGGAGGCAAUGCACUGUCCAGACGCACCUGUGUGCUGCUGUUUGCUACGGGAGUCAGAAGGCGGGCUAAGAGAAUGCAGUGGGUGUGCUGGGGGUUCCCGAGGCCAGCCUUGGGUUUGAUGAAACUCAGAAAAGCUGUUAGCGUCGCAGUUAUGUUUACGACAGUGAAAGGAAGAAUCAGCACAGGAAGGGGUGGAGGGCAGAGUCCAGGAGAUGCCAGGCACAAGCUUCCAAUGGUCCUCUUCCCGGGGCGUCCCAUGGUCAGCAUUUCAUUCCCCCGGACAACAUGUGAUGUGUGACAACACACAGGAACUGUUGCAAAUCAGAGAAGCUCAUCUGAGCCCUGGUGCCCAGGGCAUUCACCGGGGGCUCAGCCGGUGCCUGUACAUCCGACCUCAGCUGCCCAAUAUCCAGGCGCCGUAGGCUAACCGGGCUCUGCCUGCUCUCAGAUCUUCCUGGGCAUCGUCUAGGUUUUCACAUAUUUUCCUGCUGGGCUGCAAGAUGAAUGCCAGGUUUCAGGCUCCCUGGAUGAGGAUGGAUUUUGAAGAACACAGAUGAGAAUAAUCCUUUUUACGCUGCCUGAACAGAGGAUGUCAAGGUCAUACAUUUGCAAUCCCAGGCUCAGUCUUUUUUUUUUUUUUUUGUAUUGUGUGUGUUCAAGUAUAGACGUCAUGUUCUCUUUUAUUUUCCUUGAAGGUUAAACUUUUGCUUUUUUUCUUCUAUAAAGAUGUUUUAA